rnacentral:tRNA from 1 species
GUCCAAGGGGGGGAAUCGAACCCACAGUGUUCAGCUUACCGGGCAGAUGCCAUGUCCACUAGGCUACCCUGGA